rnacentral:rRNA from 1 species
ACGAACGCUGGCGGCGUGCUUAACACAUGCAAGUCGAACGGAAAGGCCCUGCUUUUGUGGGGUGCUCGAGUGGCGAACGGGUGAGUAACACGUGAGUAACCUGCCCUUGACUUUGGGAUAACUUCAGGAAACUGGGGCUAAUACCGGAUAGGAGCUCCUGCUGCAUGGUGGGGGUUGGAAAGUUUCGGCGGUUGGGGAUGGACUCGCGGCUUAUCAGCUUGUUGGUGGGGUAGUGGCUUACCAAGGCUUUGACGGGUAGCCGGCCUGAGAGGGUGACCGGCCACAUUGGGACUGAGAUACGGCCCAGACUCCUACGGGAGGCAGCAGUGGGGAAUAUUGCACAAUGGGCGGAAGCCUGAUGCAGCAACGCCGCGUGCCGGAUGACGGCCUUCGGGUUGUAAACCGCUUUCGCCUGUGACGAAGCGUGAGUGACGGUAAUGGGUAAAGAAGCACCGGCUAACUACGUG